UGAGCAAAUCAAAUUUCAGUCCUUUCCCGC
rnacentral:piRNA from 1 species